GCAGUAGCCACGGUAAAACAGAGGCCUCAAGCGUUGUUCGGAUUCAUUGGGCGUAAAGGGUGCGUAGGUGGCUUGGUAAGUUGAAGGUGAAAUCUCGGGGCUUAACCCAGAAACUGCCUUCAAUACUGCUAGGCUCGAGGACUGUAGAGGAGAAUGGAAUUCACGGUGUAGCAGUGAAAUGCGUAGAUAUCGUGAGGAAGACCAGUGGCGAAGGCGAUUCUCUGGGCAGUUCCUGACACUGAGGCACGAAGGCCAGGGGAGCAAACGGGAUUAGAUACCCGCGUAGUCCCUGUCUCUUAUAC
rnacentral:rRNA from 1 species